rnacentral:misc_RNA from 1 species
UGCUCAAGCAACCUACCCGAACUCUCGGCGGGCCACCGAUUGAGUUCCUAUUUGGUCUUGCUACGAGUGGAGUUUACCUUGCUGCCGAAUGUUACCACCGGCACGGUGUGCUCUUACCACACCCUUUCACCCUUACCUUUUUCCGAAGAAAACGGCGGUGAUGCUCUCUGUUGCACUGGUCGUAGGCUCA